UUGCGGGGUUUCUUUUCAAAACCCUCCACAAAUAAAAACUAGACAAUAAAACAGAGAACAACACCUUCUCUUUCUCUCUCUGUCUGUCCGUUCGUUUCUAUCUGCUUGUUUUUGUCUUUGGGAUUCGUGCAGUCUCGACCCUCAAUUCCUCUCGCUUUCUCCGCACAGGACCAAACCCAGUGAGUUUUAGAAUGCUAGGGUUUGAGAUGUUCCCUGCAACUCCGACCCAGGGCCAAACUGGCCCUGGCCAUGGCAUUCCUCUUGAGAGAUGGCAUCUGCUCAAAAGGUUAGAUACAAGAAUGAUGCAGAUAUUGUCCAUUGAAAGGCUUUGGUUCCAUUCCAACAUUGGACAUGAAAUACUAAUCAGUAAGGUACUGUUGGAAAUUGUGGGUUGAUAUACUUGAGAUUUGGAAUAGGGAAUGAAGCCAUUGGUCCGUGUAGCGUAGGGAGACAACAGAGCAUUAUAUUUGAUUUUUGUUGUAAAUUGAUUAAGAUGGUAGAAACGAUCCUUCAAUUUCUAUGUUUGUGCUCAUUUGAUUGCUAUCUCUGUGUGUGUGUGUGUGUGUGGAUUGUAUACCUAUGAUUCUUUUGAUGAUGGUUCAGCUCCAAAUUUUGAUGAGGGUAGUCGGUUGAAAUUUGGAAUGAAAAAUACUUAAAAGUACUGGACAGAACAGUUUUAUUGAGCAAUAUAUUCAGAUACAGGUAGUUUUCA